GGGGCUUAGUGGUGGGGUGACUGCGUACCUUUUGUAUAAUGGGUCAGCGACUUAUAUUCUGUAGCAAGGUUAACCGAAUAGGGGAGCCGGAGGGAAACCGAGUCUUAAUUGGGCGUUAAGUUGCAGGGUAUAGACCCGAAACCCGGUGAUCUAGCCAUGGGCAGGUUGAAGGUUGGGUAACACUAACUGGAGGACCGAACCGACUAAUGUUGAAAAAUUAGCGGAUGACCUGUGGCUGGGGGUGAAAGGCCAAUCAAACCGGGAGAUAGCUGGUUCUCCCCGAAAGCUAUUUAGGUAGCGCCUCGUGAAUUCAUCUCCGGGGGUAGAGCACUGUUUCGGCUAGGGGGCCAUCCCGGCUUACCAACCCGAUGCAAACUGCGAAUACCGGAGAAUGUUAUCACGGGAGACACACGGCGGGUGCUAACGUCCGUCGUGAAGAGGGAAACAACCCAGACCGCCAGCUAAGGUCCCAAAGUCAUGGUUAAGUGGGAAACGAUGUGGGAAGGCCCAGACAGCCAGGAUGUUGGCUUAGAAGCAGCCAUCAUUUAAAGAAAGCGUAAUAGCUCACUGGUCGAGUCGGCCUGCGCGGAAGAUGUAACGGGGCUAAACCAU
rnacentral:rRNA from 1 species